GAUUGAACGCUGGCGGAAUGCUUUCCACAUGCAAGUCGAACGGCAGCCCGGGGGCAACCCUGGUGGCGAGUGGCGAACGGGUGAGUAAUACAUCGGAACGUGCCCGGUCGUGGGGGAUAACGUAGCGAAAGUUACGCUAAUACCGCAUACGAUCUGAGGAUGAAAGCGGGGGACCUUCGGGCCUCGCGCGAUCGGAGCGGCCGAUGUCAGAUUAGGUAGUUGGUGGGGUAAAGGCCUACCAAGCCGACGAUCUGUAGCUGGUCUGAGAGGUCGACCAGCCACACUGGGACUGAGACACGGCCCAGACUCCUACGGGAGGCAGCAGUGGGGAAUUUUGGACAAUGGGCGCAAGCCUGAUCCAGCCAUUCCGCGUGCAGGACGAAGGCCUUCGGGUUGUAAACUGCUUUUGUAUGGAACGAAAAGGCUCUGGCUAAUACCUGGGGCUCAUGACGGUACCGUAAGAAUAAGCACCGGCUAACUACGUG
rnacentral:rRNA from 1 species